rnacentral:rRNA from 1 species
UACGUAGGGCGCAAGCGUUGUCCGGAAUUAUUGGGCGUAAAGAGCUCGUAGGCGGCUUGUCACGUCGGGUGUGAAAGACCGGGGCUUAACCCCGGUUCUGCAUUCGAUACGGGCUGGCUAGAGUGUGGUAGGGGAGAUCGGAAUUCCUGGUGUAGCGGUGAAAUGCGCAGAUAUCAGGAAGAACACCCGUGGCUAAGGCGGCUCUCUAGUACGGUACUGACGCUGAGACGCGAAAGCGUGGGGAGCGAACAGG